AACGAACGCUGGCGGCAUGCCUAACACAUGCAAGUCGAACGAGACCUUCGGGUCUGGUGGCGCACGGGUGCGUAACGCGUUGGAUCCUGCCCUUAUGUUCGGAAUAACUCCCCGAAAGGGGUGCUAAUACCGGCUAAUGUCUUCGGACCAAAGAUUUAUCGCCUUUGGAUGGUCCCGCGUUGGAUUAGUUAGUUGUUAGGGUAAAAGCCUACCAAGGCGACGAUCCAUAACUGGUCUGAGAGGAUGAUCAGCCACACUGGGACUGAGACACGGCCCAGAAUCCUACGGGAGGCAGCAGUGGGGAAUAUUGGACAAUGGGCGAAAGCCUGAUCCAGCAAUGCCGCGUGAGUGAUGAAGGCCUUAGGGUUGUAAAGCUCUUUUACCCGGGAUGAUAAUGACAGUACCGGGAGAAUAAGCUCCGGCUAACUCCGUG
rnacentral:rRNA from 1 species